AUGGCGGCCGACUUGGACCUGGACGACGUGAUCCAGCGCCUGCUGGACGCGGAGGCGCCCCUCAGCUCGCCGUCCGCCGCCCCGCCGCUGAAAGCCGAGGAGAUCCGGCACCUCUGCGCGGCCGCCAAGGAGCUCCUCCUCAAGCAGCCGACGCUGCUCCAGCUCUCCGCCCCCGUCAACAUCUGCGGCGACAUCCACGGCCAGUACCCCGACCUCCUCCGCCUCUUCCGCGAGAUCGGGCCGCCCUCCGCCGCCAACCGCUACCUCUUCCUCGGCGACUACGUCGACCGGGGCACGCAGAGCAUCGAGACCAUCUGCCUCCUCCUCGCCUACAAGCUCAAGUACCCGGACGCCUUCUUCCUCCUCCGCGGCAACCACGAGUGCGCCGCCGUCAACAAGCAGUACGGCUUCUACUCCGAGUGCGCCUCCCGCGGCCGCCGCAUAGUCAGGCUCUGGGAGGAACUCAACGCCGUAUUCGCCUGCCUCCCGCUGGCGGCGCUCGUCGGCUGCGAGGGUAGUAACAAGAACAAGAAGAAGAAGAUCCUGUGCGUGCACGGCGGGCUCUCGCCGGAGCUCGAGAGCCCGGACCAGAUCCGCCAGAUCAAGCGCCCGCUGGCCGACGUCCCCGAGCACGGGCUCGUGUGCGACCUGCUGUGGUCGGACCCCGCCGCGGACGGCGACGAUUGGGGGUGGGGGGACCCGCGCAGGUGCACGUCCUUCACCUUCGGCGCCGACGUGGUGGAGGAGUUCUGCGAGAGGCACGGGCUGGCCAUGGUGUGCAGGGCGCACGAGAUGAAGGACGGCGGGUACGACCAAGGGUUCGCCGGCGGGAAGCUUGUCACCGUGUUCUCUGCACCCAACUACUGCGGCAAGUGCGGCAACGACGGCGCCGUCAUGACCGUCGCCGGUGACCUCGCCUGCUCCUUCCGCGUCUUCCACCCUGAGAAUACUGCCACUCCUCCUCCGGCUCCUAUUUAUCUUUAG
rnacentral:rRNA from 1 species